rnacentral:rRNA from 1 species
AUUGAACGCUGGCGGCAUGCUUUACACAUGCAAGUCGAACGGCAGCGCGGGCUUCGGCCUGGCGGCGAGUGGCGAACGGGUGAGUAAUGCAUCGGAGCGUGCCCAGUAGUGGGGGAUAGCCCGGCGAAAGCCGGAUUAAUACCGCAUACGACCUGAGGGUGAAAGCGGGGGACCGAAAGGCCUCGCGCUUUUGGAGGGGCCGAUGUCGGAUUAGCUAGUUGGUGGGGUAAAGGCUUACCAAGGCGACGAUCCGUAGCUGGUCUGAGAGGACGACCAGCCACACUGGGACUGAGACACGGCCCAGACUCCUACGGGAGGCAGCAGUGGGGAAUUUUGGACAAUGGGGGCAACCCUGAUCCAGCCAUGCCGCGUGCGGGAAGAAGGCCUUCGGGUUGUAAACCGCUUUUGUUCGGGAAGAAAUCCUCUGGGCUAAUACCCCGGGGGGAUGACGGUACCGGAAGAAUAAGCACCGGCUAACUACGUG